GGCUUUAUAUUCAAAAAUGAUAUUAGACUGCAAUUCUAAAGGUGUAAAUUAAACUAUACUAAGGCCU
rnacentral:tRNA from 1 species